UACGUAGGGGGCAAGCGUUGUCCGGAUUUAUUGGGCGUAAAGAGCUCGUAGGCGGUUUCGUAAGUCGAGUGUGAAAAAUCUGGGCUCAACCCAGUGGAGCACUCGAUACUGCGAUGACUAGAGUACGGUAGAGGAGUGUGGAAUUCCUGGUGUAGCGGUGAAAUGCGCAGAUAUCAGGAGGAACACCAACGGCGAAGGCAGCACUCUGGGCCGGUACUGACGCUGAGGAGCGAAAGCGUGGGGAGCAAAC
rnacentral:rRNA from 1 species